rnacentral:lncRNA from 1 species
AGCACUUGGCUGCCUUGUUUUGGUUCUGUAGGGCAAAAAAGGUGCUAAAAAUGUUCAAAGAUGUAUAUGAGAUGGCUUAGUACAGUUUCACUCAGGCAAGGUGCCAGGGCAUGUUAUGUAAAGUGUUGGUCUUUCCUACAUUUUAAAUUGAAUAUAGAACAGUUGGGUUCCAUCCCUCCUUCCUGGCAACCAGCCCAGCCUUGGGCACUUCCAUUAUAAACUGGGUUUCUCCUAGCUACCCAAGGUACCAGCAAGACUCAGAGACUGCAGAGAUGAUGGUGAUCUUUUCAGGAAUCAAGAGAAUGCUCUUCCUCUUGUUCCUCUCUUGCCUCUGUUCUGGCCAGCUUGCAUCUCCACUGCUGUGUUUCCCCACCUUCCUGGAUUCUUCUAGCAUGUUCCACCUCUGCUAGGACCAUGAGGAACAGGAGCUGAUGGGGUUGAGCUGCACAUCCACACUGCCUCAUCCACACUGUAGAUUCAUGGAGAGCUGCCUGGAUCUGACAUUGUGACAGGAGGUGCCUUCUGAAAUGGCAGCAUCUGCUUCUCUGUACAGAGACGCAGUGGACUCAACUGACCCCAGAAGAUUCUUCACCUCUGACCUGGGGCUGCACAAUGUAAGUAUUAUACUGGUAUGUUUAAAAUCUCCCCUUCUUCUGUCUUUCUUGGUCAUGGCCACACUGAGUUUGGGAUUGCAGAGGCUGAAAGAUGGACAUGACUCUUCUUGGAAACAUGGAAGUAGAGCUGGCAAGAGUAGGAGUGAAGUGGGAGUGUGAGGGGUUAUCUGUUAGGAAAAUGCUGUCAGAUGUUGCCCAUGUCCUUAGCUAGAGUUUACGAAACCAAAUUCAUUAGGUGCUAAUGAAUUACAGCAGAAUUAUUAACACAGACAUCUCAUUAUUAACACAGACAUGCAGGCCCAUUGUCCCAUCCAUAUAGACACACAUUAAAAUAUCUUUAAAUUAUUGAAGAUAUUUACCACUCCCCAUCAUAGUUUUGUGGGAAAUACACAAUACCACAGACACAUAAUAAGUAUACAUUUAAAUGCUGAAAAGUGUGGCUAAGUGCUAAGAAAUACAAUACAAACUACCCUGUGUGCUAUCUCCAGUAUUAAGUUAUGCAGCAUCUCAGUAUCACAUAAAAGGAUUUACAAGGGGAGCUGGAGCCCUGUUUUAACUUCCCCCCCAUGAUAUUUGCACCAUCCUUGUCAAAUGGAGUUCAAAAGCAUCAACUCAGUGGGGUAUUGCACCUUCCUUCGUCAAACAGCACCGGCCCACACAGUCAGCACUCCCUCAAGAUGCAGCACAACCUGCUAAUCAGUGUAGGCAAU